rnacentral:rRNA from 1 species
UACGUAGGGGGCAAGCGUUGUCCGGAUUUAUUGGGCGUAAAGAGCGCGUAGGCGGCCCGGAAAGUCGGAUGUGAAAACCCGGGGCUCAACCCCGGGCCUGCAUCCGAUACUCCCAGGCUGGAGGCAGGUAGGGGAGAUCGGAAUUCCUGGUGUAGCGGUGAAAUGCGCAGAUAUCAGGAGGAACACCGGUGGCGAAGGCGGAUCUCUGGGCCUGUCCUGACGCUGAGGCGCGAAAGCUAGGGGAGCGAACAGG